rnacentral:rRNA from 1 species
AUGUCCACACUCCCACGACAAUCAUCUCCUAGUAUAAAGAUCGAUACUAAUAGCCAUCCAAAUCUAGCCUCAGCACUCCUUGAACCAAAUCCCCCAUCAUUACCUGUGCCUUGUACAAGAGAGCCCGGCAGCCAUAGCCAUGGGAGGAAGCAAGAGGGGUCUGGGGAGUGCGAUCGUGUGUUUACUCGUGCAGGGGCUGGUCCUGAAGCAGAUGAACUAAACACCAUUGAGUAUUGCAGCUUAGAAUGUAGGUCUUCCGUGUGUGACAACAUGGUCAUGGUCAACAUAGCUACCAACAGUGAAGAGAUGAAACUCUAUGUGAAACUCUGCGGUGAUGCUUGUGAUAGUUUAUGUAAGGGGGAUGCUCUACUGGCAUCCCUUGAUCUUGAUGACUAA